GUGUCCCUGCCCAUGGCAGGGGGGUGAAACUGGGUGAUCUUUAACUUCCCUUCCAACCCAAACCUGUCUGGGAUUCUGUGAUCCCUCAGAAAAUAACUUUAGCAGCCGCUCAGCAUUUAAAAGGUAAUGGGUAGGAAAACACCCAGGUAUUUUGCCCCCACCAUCCCCACAUCUCAGCCUCCUCAGUGACUUUUGGGCUGAGGCAGCUACAGCUUUCCACUCUUGAAAAAUUCCAUCGUUUUAAUCAUGGAAAAAGCCUGAGCAAUGCACACACAGAGCUGUCAAAUGUGAGAAACAAACAUUCUGGGAGAAAAAGAAAGGCCUUUUUUUUUUUUUUUUUUUAAUUCCAAUCUCAAUUAUAGGAAUCAAAUGCGUCAUCUGGAUCAAUAGUAAGUUGAAAUUGCUCAGCCAGAAAGAUUUUAAAUAUAAAAAAGCUGCAGCUGAGAGCCUUCCUUUGAGCUCAUGUAUUAUUAUAACUGAAAUUAUGAUAGUGCACCAUGUUUACAGGCUCCCUCGGAAAGCUCAGGUUAAGAACAAAGGUUUAAUCAAUGUACCUGUACGUAGUAACAGGAUCUUAAACCCAGCCUGUGUGUACUGGGAUCUUAUCAUGGCCAGGAACAGCAGGGAUUUAAUGUCCUUUGAUUCCCACUGCCAUGUGGUACAUUCCCAGGUCAUCAUUCCCUGCAUUUUCCCCCAGAGGCGGCUGCGAUUCAAGCAGGAUGUGUUUGCAGAGAACAUGCAAAUUAAACUGAAACGAGGCAGCCUUUGAAAAUACAAAAUAUUACUGAUCACUUAACCUUUGUAGAAUAAGAGCUGACGUGCAGACAAGUGGCUGGGCUUCAUCCAGCCCGAAGGAAAAUGUUAAAACCCAAGAAAAUGUGUCAGAGUUCUUUGGCUGGUUCAGUUUGUAAGGAAGGGUCGGGGAAGCUCCGUGUCCGUGGAGAAAGAGGGGCUCCCAAGGAAUGAGGCUGCAGGUUUUGGGUGUGGUGGCAUCAGAGAGACACCAGCACAGGCAGUGUCAGGAACCAGGUGCAUGGUCUGCCAGGGACUUUCAGAUCAACUUGGUUUCACAUGUGAGUGAAAAAAAGAGUCAGAGCGAGAGAAGGUGGGUGGUUAAAGAGGGCUGAGCAUGAUGCAAAAAAUCUGUUGGACCGGCAGAUCCAGCUCACAUUUGAAAAUCACCCCCUUUAUGGCUCCCGUGAAAUCACCUUUUAAUAAAGAGGCUAUAAAAGGGACCUGUAAUUUCGUGGUUGGUGCAUGAGCCGGAAGAUGAACCAGCUGACUUUCACAGAGCUUUAUUACAGCUGUGGUCCAGCUGGAGUCGGGGAUAUUUACUGUGUGUGAGCACAGAGAUGAUGCAGAAAUCCACAGCACUGACCUUUGGUGCCAGGCAGUGAGUCAAAGCCAUCCCUGCCCGGCCCCAGCUGCCUCCCAGCUGUUCAGUAUCAGGUCAGGCAGGAAGGUUUCCCCAUCCACAGGUGGAGCCCUUUGACUCACAGCUUCCCCACAUCCACCUUCUCAACUCUCAGAGUAAUUAAAUAAAUCCCAGAAGCCACAGCCCGAGGUCCUUGGGAGGAUGUCACCCAGUGGUAUGUCUGAGCAGGGGGAUGGGGCUGUGCUGCUCUGCUUGGGUGUUUGCUUCUUAAAUUGGGCCAGAUUUGAUCUUCAGCAUUUAUAUUUGAGGCUUUGAUGGAUCCAUGAGCAUUUUGGGGCUGGGCAGUUGCUCAGAACUCAUCAGCAAGAUGGGAUUGUGUCUGAAAAGAGUCAGUGCUGGGCAGGCAGGAUUUUUGCUUUUAGGGGUGAUAAGAGGGUGGACUUUGUUUUUCACGUGGGUUAAAAUACUGUGAUCCAGCAGACGGCUGGUGCUCUAUAUCAAGAUUAAAUUCUGGGGAAAGUCUGUCAGAAUCUGGGUCACUUGCUCCUUUGUGGUCUCCCAUUUAUAUAUCAAGCUGACCCGACUCACGUCUGCAGACUGUGAUGGGAGAACUGGGAGAGCUUCUGGUGAAGUUAUUUAAGGGCUCAGACAGGUACGAGCACACAAGUCAUUUCACAACCCUGACAGGAGAAGCUCGGCUGCUGUGCUGCCUGUACUUCAUCGGUGCUUCCCCUUGCCCUUGAUGCUUUGUGCCUUUCCAGUUCUGCUUUUUAUGUCCUCAAAACGAGAGUGUGGUCUCUUGAGGCCGGGAUGAGACAGAGCCAGCAGAGGCUGGAGUGGAUCUUCCCAGCUACAAGUUCCCUUGUCUCGUUAACCACGUUGCAUAAGGAGGUGCAAUAGUGCUGAGCUCAAAAUUACACCUCUUCCUUUCCUGCCUGACACAGCAGCAGGGAGAGAGAACUGCAAACGAGUUUAAAGUAUUGCUUCCUCAGAGCAAAAUUUGGGAGAUGAGAGGUUUGGGUUUUGUCUGGCUGACCGAAAGCCCCCGGGGAGCUCAGGAUGCUGGUGCCUGUGACUGCCACAGCCGUGUGAUUCCAGCUCCAGGAUGGCCCAGGGCACCCACCCGCCUGCUUUGCAACAAGCUGUGAUUUAUGGGAUGCCUGUGGAGUGGCUGGUCCCUGUGUGAUAAUGAAGGGGAGUCUGUGAUGUCCCUGCUCUGAGAGCAGGGAGCAGACUCAUCCACCCCGGGGGUCCCCUGUGUGUCCCUGCACCCCAGCUGACAAUGUGACCCCACUUUCCAGCCCUUCCCUGGGCUGUGAUCAGCAGGUUGGGUCCGAUGGCUGCAAGCUGAUCUCAUUUUAACCCGGAGGGAUGCAGGUGUGGUCCUGCUCUUGGGUUGUCACUGCUUCUCCCCUCAUGCUGCCCCUGCCAGCUUCGGUUAAAUAUCAUUGAAUCCAUCUCUUCCAUGAGAUUAACUCGCUCUCAGCCCCUCAGGAUGAACCACACACUGGGCUGGGACUGAUGGAGGCCAGAAUCUGGGAAACAUUCAGUCUGGAGCAAGGUGAGCUGAAUCCUAACCUGCUUCAUGCCUCACGCUGUGGCUGCAGACCUUGAAGCAGGGAGUGAUAAAGCCUCCUUUAAAUGGUGAUUUAAAGGCUGGCUGCCCUGAUGAGCUCGGGCUUUAUCUGAUUUGGGACCUACUACGGCCAUCUCAGGGAGGUGCUGGAGUGAUAACAUAAUGCAAUAUCUGGAAAGGUGGUUUCUGGCUGUGCAGUGAGAAUAAAUGCAGUAGAUUGUAACCCGGGAGAAAACCAUUAUCAAUAUCUUCUCUGGUUUUAUACACAUGGCUCAGGGACGUCACUUAAUAACUUCUGUGCUGAACUCCAAACUGCCUCCUGAGUUACCAGAUCUCUUUAAAACCACACACAGGCUUCCCAGUUGUUUGAAAAAAAAAAAUUUGUUAGAUCUGAAAGGCCUUUCCAGCCCUGGUAACAUACUGUAUUCCCUCUCCUCCAAAGUUUGAUCCACCAGGUGCAAAAAUCCUUUCAAAGAGCAAGAAGGUGGACAGGUACCUCAAGAGAAGAGACCCUUCCAUGUAACAGGUGUUUUGCCAUCAACCAUUUGAGCAUCUGUCCCUGAAUUUUUCCUCCUCUCCAGGACAACUCUUAGCAAUGGAUGUUUAGGGGCUGAAGUUUCUCUUCCUUUAUCUCUCUAAGCUUCUGAUGACAACCCUGGGAUUUUCCAGGAUGAAAUGGAAAGAGCCCUGAGCAAGUUUGGAGGGAAAUCUCUGGAAGCAGGCCAUUAGCAAAACAUUAAAGGCUGAGCUGGGUUUGCCUUUGGCCAAGUACACACAGGCUUCCAUGGCUCCUGCAGGCUUCCCAGCCCGGAUUUGAGAUGCUCCUGGAUGUUUCUGCUCCAUCCAUCCCUCAGGUGAGGAGAACCAGGUCUUCCCUCCUCCACCCCACACAGCCCAGGGGCCAUCAUGGGCUCAGUGACUUGUGCUGGGGUGAUGGCUGGAAAAAACCCCCUGACCAACUGAGGCAGACACAAAGCAACAGCUCUCCAAAAUCCACCAGGUGACAUUGCUUUUUCCCUACCAACCAGUGAGAAAAUGAGCAAUUCCAGCCUCCCUACAGUGCUAACUACUCCUACAGAGGUGCUUGGACAGGCCAUGCUGAUUAACUCCAUGUCCCCUUACAGCAUUCCUGGGCCUGUGCUCCCAGGAAGCUCAGCUUGUCCCAAGUGUCUCCGGCUUCCAAGAGCCACAAAACCUGGGAGAAUAUCAGCACCAUGAAGUGAUGGCAUUGCAGCAACCCAUCAGCAAGGCUGAUGUCCCCACAGGUCAUGUCUUCCACAUCUUGACCAAGAAACCUCUGGGGUUUGUUUCCUUUUUGAAGCUGGGACAGAAGGAUGCCACCCUGAGACAAUAAUUUCCUUACCUCUCCCCCUGUAACUACUUGAUUUCCCCCUCUCUUGCAUUUCUGAUACCUGGCAGGUAUUUUUAUAAUCCCAUAACUGUUAUUUUUCUCCAGCUCUCAUUUUCUGUUUUGCAGCCUGGCCACCUGGUCAGAGCCUUUUCCAUCUGUAUGCAGCGUGCACGGCUGGAGCAGCCCACAGGAGACCAGGAUUAAAAACUGUGAGCUAACACACAGCAGCUCAAGGCUCAGCAACACAAAUACCUCCUUUCCCAUUUUUUUUUUGGGCACUUCAGCCAGGCAGAGUGUCACCCUGACAUGGAGGAGGGGGAGAAGGCAUCAAUCUAUACAGGGUUUGUUGGGGUCCUUGAAGAGGAACUGCUUAUCCUGGAUGAGGAUCCAAGGAAGAUUUUUCUUCUUUCACUUGGAUUAGGCAUUGCCCUGUGUGCAAGCUUAAGGUAGGAAAAGGGAAGCUGAAAUAUAGUUGGAUCUAUGGGUCCAGCUAUGAGAUUUGUCAUUCCAUGGGACCUCUUCCACAACAGAUGUGGAAUGAUGAGGUGGUGAGUCUGGGCUGGGACCACCCGGAGACACCAGCAAGGAAAAGCAUUUUCCUCUUUCACAGGGCUUCAGCACCAUGAAAUUGUUUUAUUUUAUUACUGAUCCAGGAAAAACUGAGAGGCCUCUGAGGACAUUUCUGAAGUCAGCAGCAACCUAGAGGAUGAAACCUUCCUCUCUCCCACCACGGCAGGGGGGCUGUGCUGGCCAUGUGGCACCAGCAAAGCCCCACAGUCAGGACACUGGAUGAUACUGGAAAAGGGAGCUCCUCUGUCAGGAGAGUGCAGUGUCCUCUCCAGGGCCGGGAUGACGAGGCACCUACAGGCCAUGCCCUUGCAGAUGCCACGAGUCUGUGGACAAUGAAUAUGAUGAACAGAAAGGUUUUUCUUCCUGUGUUCCCACAUGGUGAUUAAUCUUCCCAGCGUUUGAAGGUGGGGAACAGCUGCCUUGGGGCUGCACGGAGGAGGAAGAUGCCUCAGAAGCUUCGUCCUCCCCGAAACGUUCCCCACUGGGCCACGGGUGAGUAAGAGGCCGGGGUGGGAAGUGGGAACAGCCACAUCCAUCCCACGCAGCAGGAGCCCUCCGUUCCCAGCAGGGGGGGGGACUCAUCAGCUCCUCAGAUCAGGCUGCAGAAAGCUGGGCCACAAAUUGGGCUCCACGCCACGGUGACGUGUCAGGAAUCCUCCAGAGGUGGCCCCUUGUUCUGUCACCGCCGCGUUUGUUCCUCGGGAGAACCACAUUAACUCUGACCCCGCUGCCCUCACCACAGAGCCUCUCUUCCCAUCUCCCUUCUCUAUCUUUUCAUCGCUGUGAUGCCUAAAAAUCACCAGCUGGAGUGGUUCUGAGAGCCAGAGAGGGCUUUCUGGGGAAUAACUGGAGUGCUAUUCCAGCAUCACGAGACAUCCCAGCCUCUCCUGCAGCCACAACGGGAGCAUUUUCUGCAGUGAGAGCAAAAUAAACAUCAAGACUCUUUAAAAGAUAGUCUGGAGGGUUGAGUGCAAUUAUCGGGCCAAACUCUGUUGCCUUGAGUGUUAUCUAUCACUUUGUAGUUUUCUUCCUCAUAGAAAGGUGGAUAUUAAAUUCUAUUUUUCUUAUGGCCAUAAAAAAAAAAGUAAUUUUCUCUAAAUUAUUUCUUCCAGACCUGCUAAAAACAAGAAUCAUAAUGCAGCAGGACCCCCAUCUUCUCAGUAAUUACACUCUGCCUCCUAACUCCUUCAACACCAAUUUCUCAAUUUAUUUGGCUUCCAUCUGGAACCACAGUCACAGGCAGAGCUGGGCUCUGUCUUAUUAUUACAUGGACAAAAUUGUUUUUAAAAUGUAAUUAAACAUUUACCUUGAAGACAAUGCUUUGUCUUCUUUAAGAAGCAUAAUAUCUUAAUUUAACCUAAUCUAGAAAACCUUCCAUCUCUGAGCUUUUACCUCCAAGACAAUGUUAUGCUAAACACAAAGCAAAACAAAAAG